GGACGUCAUGAUGGACAAUCAGCCGCCCCUCACAUCACCGGAUGGAUCCAGUAAUGGGAACCCACCAGAGAGAUAUCCCCGCCCUCAGGAUUCCACACUGGUCAAUAU